rnacentral:rRNA from 1 species
AGUAACGCGUGGGUAACCGUGCCUCAUACAGGGGGAUAACAGUUGGAAACGACUGCUAAUACCGCAUAAGCGCACAGGAUUGCAUGAUCCAGUGUGAAAAACUCCGGUGGUAUGAGAUGGACCCGCGUCUGAUUAGCCAGUUGGCGGGGUAACGGCCCACCAAAGCGACGAUCAGUAGCCGACCUGAGAGGGUGACCGGCCACAUUGGGACUGAGACACGGCCCAA